GAAUUGCGAUAUGUAAUGUGAAUUGCAGAAUUCAGUGAAUCAUCGAAUCUUUGAACGCACAUUGCACCUUCUGGUAUUCCAGAGGGUAUGCCUGUUUGAGUGUCAUCAGCAACUCAAUGCAAAAAGGUCUUGCUUGCCUUGUUGUAUUUGGAUUUUGAAGGUCUGCUGAAGAUGAUUCAGCUCCUUUUAAAUGUAUUAGCAAAGUCUAUCAGACAGUCAGAUUUUGGUUUGAUAACAUUUUUGAACCAGACUUGAUCAUUUUGAUAGCAUGCUUCUAAAUGUCUCUGAUGGAGACUGCCUUCAUAAAGGCAUGCAUCUUGAAUUUGGCCUCAAAUCAGGUAGGACUACCCGCUGAACUUAA
rnacentral:misc_RNA from 1 species